AACAGGAUUGCUGGGUUAUAUGUUAAAUAUGCUUAACUUUAUAAGAAACUGCCAAAUUGUUUUCCAAAGUGAUUACAUGACAUUUAACAAUCUACCAGCUGA
rnacentral:pre_miRNA from 1 species